UACAUGUACUGUUUGGUUAACUGGUUGCAUUUUUUUUUUUUUUUUUACCAUGCAGUGAUCAUUUUCCCACCUAUCAGUCAGUUAACAGGUUAAAUCUUGCCAUCCAUAAUUAAUUCAGUAGAAGUUUCCAACUUUCAAAAAUUUACAUUAAUUUUCCUUAUAUGCCCAUAGAUAAUUUGCAUACAAAAUACCAUUACACUAUACAUCAUUGAUUUUUCAGGCACGAACCAAAUUUGUGAAUGUACGUAUGAUGGAAAUAGAUGAAAUUUUCAAUAAUAACAGAAAUAAAUAUAUGUAACGACGGAAUAGGAAAUGAAAUAAUAUUGAAAAAAAUUGUAAUUUUUUUUAUCGGUAUUUUUGAAAUGGUGAAUAUACACUUCUAUUAAUUUUGUAAUGUAAUGUUUGUGUAGGACAGUACUAGUAAGACCGACCACACAUAUACGAACAAGAAACGGCGGCUGCUACAGCAAUCGAGGAAGCUAGGCUGUCCAGCCGUAGUAUCGCUACGGACUGUAGUGAAAUUCCCUGGGUUUAAGAUUGAUAGUACUGAUUCCAUAUGGAGAAGAAAAUUGAUGGCUAAACGGCUGUAGACUACACUUUCAGACGAUACAGACAGCGUGGAAAAAGUUUUUCAGAUUUGUGUUUCUCUGCCUGGAUGAUCCUGUUUUGGAUCACAAAAAUCACAUCGUGGGAGAGACUUAGGGAAAAUGGAGGAGAAACAAAAGAUUAAACGGAAAUGGAUGGAGAAUGAGGAAACUGCCCUCGUCCAAUAUGUUUUGGAGAGGAAGGAAGAGCUUUUUGGAGACAUGAAGGGGCGGGAUCAAAGAAAAAGGCGGCGUUAAAGCGGGAGAGAUGGGACGAGAAAUAGUGUGUAUCCAUGAGAAAAUCGAUAUAAAACUCGCAGAUCUUGUGUUUGGUUUACUUCGGAGACGAGCCCUCGAUUAUGACGUUGUAUACGAUGCGAAAUGGACAGCAACUGAAACUUUUCAUAGUGGAAAAGUUUCAUAGCUAGUGGAUUAACCUUUUAGAUAGAUCAGUCUAGCUAGUUGGAAGGUCAUGCAUCUAACGCUACCACAGAUAGGUUUUAUAAAUAUUUAGUUGCAGUGCAUACUAGUGUGAUUGUUGGUGUUAAAAUUGUAUAGAUAAAUACUACCAAUGUACUGA